GGAGAGGCCGGAAAGGACAAGUGCUGGCAUGACUGAUGAGUGGUAUAUGUCUGCACCUGGGAUCUGAACCCGUGAACCCAGGAUGCCGAAGUGGAGCAUGCCAAACUUAAUCACUGCACCACGGGGCCAGCCCCACAGUCUGUUGUUUUAAAAGAUCAGUGGAUAGAGAACCGGGAGCCUGAUAUUCUUGUCCUGAGCAAAUGACAGCAUGAUGACAGCACUUCUCCGUUCAGAUUUGCCACAUUCCCAGUGCUCAAGAGCCGCAUGUGGUGGCGGCUGCCAUAGGAGACAGCAUGGAAGCAGAGAACCAGUUAUCACUGUGGCCUGGAGUUCUUGCUAGCUACCUAAUGGGGUUCAGAGAGGAACCCCGUUUAUUGAGGGCUCACUGUGCACUAUAUAAAAUACAAAUACAAUUUGUUCUUUUAAUUUGUGUGUCUCAUUAAAAAGACAGCUAGAGCAGAGGGUAAAUACCAUGGAAAUGGUAUUUCAACUGGUACCCCACCUGUGUUCCCUACUAUUUCACGUCGCUG
rnacentral:lncRNA from 1 species